CGCACUCCCAGAACAACACUGCAUUAUGUCGAAAAAUUCCAAAAUUGACUUUAUUAUAUAUUCGAAUAGGCAAAAUUUUUACGCGUAUACCACGAAGACAGACUUAUUUCUAUUUGCAAAAAUACCCAACAGAUGGCGCGCUAACUCUCUGUUGGUGACGACACUUCGCCGGAGUCAUCCCGCGUACAUUGAACUAUUUCUAGUUGCAACUAGUUAGUCGAAGAGAACGGAGUGUACAACGUUUGCGCAACAGCAAAUUAUUUAGUAUUAAUACAGUGUUGGUGAAUGGAGUAAGAAAAUUAUUUCGGAUUAUUUCGUUUUGAUGCGAUAUUUGUGAUUAAGCUUGUGCAACAAUUUUGGAUUAUAUCAAAAUAGUACUUUAUUGUUGACGAAGAUGAUGAGAGAUCGGGGGCUUAUGUUGUUGGAAAAGGCCAUGGAAACUAGUGGAGUAGAAUCAGCCACGGAAGUUUCAGAAAGGGAGGUGUCCGUAUCUAUUUCAUCAACCAUGAAGCUUUAGAGAGUGAGGUACUUGUAUCUGUUUCAUCGGUUUAUGAAGCGUCAGGAUGGGAGGUACACAUAUCUGCUCCAUCCGCCUAUGAAGCACCAGGAAGUGAGAUACCCAUAUCUACUCCAUUAGUCUAUGCUGCAUCGGGAACGGAGUUACCCGAAUCUGUUCCAUUAGCUUAUAAAACAUCGGGUGAGGAGGUACUCGUACCUGCGUCAUCGGAUCAUAGCGAUGAUGAUUUUGUUGAUGACUCAGACGCUGAUCCUACUUUUAUUAUAUCAAAAAAACAUAUAUCUCAUCGUCCUGUAAUCCCUUAAAGAAUAUCGAGCUCGUCGUUCAGGCUCCAGCUCAUAUUCAUCAAGCUCCAGCUCCAGCUCCAGCAGUUCAAGUAGCUCAUCUGAUGACGAAUCCAAUAGACCGGGUCCUUUAACAGCAAAUACUCACGGGAAUCCAAAUUUUUCUCCAACUUUCGCGCCCUCCACAUCUUCUACAACUGACACUAUUCUGGUAGUGAGCGAACCCAAAUUAUGUAAAAAGAGAAAACAAAACCCUGCAACAAAUUAGACAGUUUCGCGUAGAGAAGCAACAUCCACUAGCUUUCUUCUACAAAACGAACGUUCGCGGAAUCUGACUUGAAAAAAGUCUAUGUUCGAAAUCGUACAGGCGGUACAGAGACCAGAGCUUUGCUCCGGUGCAACAAAACUACCUCUGUCCGUAAACAAAAAAAAAGAUAUUAUGGAUUUGAUCGAAAAAAAUAUAAUACCUACUAAUUAUGUUGAUUCCUAUUAUAAGACUGCCUUAGGCUUAGAAUAGUACAGCAUCAGCUGAGUUCCUAUUAUUUCUACUUGGAAACGAAAUUUCCCAUAUUUUUGUUAUUGUUAUUUUUAUUAACUACUUUUCGAUUAUUUUUUUAUCCUUAGUAAUGGUAUUUUAAAAGCUGAGUGAUUUUUAACCAUAAGUUAUAAAAAAUAUUUUUUAAUCCAGAAGACUGGUUAAGAUAAGUAAAUAAGUAGACUUGAAGCUUCUUGUUAUGUGCUACUAUUAUAAAAAUAUUAGUAGAUUGAACUAUUAUUCGUAGAGAUUGAAAGACUGGUUAAGUCCUAUUGUUAUUACCUAUGUUAAAUAUGCUAAGUUUAAGCAGAGGUAUGCUUCCUUUUUAAUAUUUUUUUUAUCAAAAUAUCAGUACCUAAGCUUAAAGACUUUGAAAAAGUUUAAGCAGAGUUGCCAAUUUGUGUUACCAAUUUUAAAAAAUAUAUUUUUGUUAUUAUUAAGUAUUUUUAUUAAGUAUAACCUAAGUAUUACUUAAUAAAAAUACAUAAUUGUUAUUUGAUUACACUGAUUUUUGUAUA